rnacentral:rRNA from 1 species
AAUGAACGCUGGCGGCGUGGAUUAGGCAUGCAAGUCGAACGCGAAAGUUCCCUUCGGGGAGCGAGUAGAGUGGCGAAAGGGUGAGUAAUGCUUGGAUGACCUGCCCUCGAGACGGGGACAACAGUUCGAAAGGACUGCUAAUACCCGAUAGUCCGGUUUAGAUGCGUCUAGAUCGGUAAAUGGUGCUUCCGCUCGAGGAGGGGUUCAAGUCCUAUCAGCUUGUUGGUGAGGUAACGGCUCACCAAGGCUAAGACGGGUAGCUGGUCUGAGAGGAUGAUCAGCCACACUGGAACUGAGACACGGUCCAGACUCCUACGGGAGGCAGCAGUGGGGAAUAUUGCGCAAUGGGCGAAAGCCUGACGCAGCCACGCCGCGUGUGCGAUGAAGGUCUUCGGAUCGUAAAGCACUGUGGAGGGAGAAGAAUAAAGCCGGUGAAGAGCCGGCCCUGACGGUAUCCCUUUAGCAAGCACCGGCUAACUCCGUGCCAGCA